rnacentral:rRNA from 1 species
GGGCCCGCACAAGCGGUGGAGCAUGUGGUUUAAUUCGAUGCAACGCGAAGAACCUUACCUACUCUUGACAUCCAGAGAACGAGGUAGAGAUGCCUUGGUGCCUUCGGGAGCUCUGAGACAGGUGCUGCAUGGCUGUCGUCAGCUCGUGUUGUGAAAUGUUGGUUAAGUCCCGCAACGAGCGCAACCCUUAUCCUUACUUGCCAGCGGGUAAUGCCGGGAACUUUAGGGAGACUGCCGGUGAUAAACCGGAGGAAGGUGGGGACGACGUCAAGUCAUCAUGGCCCUUACGAGUAGGGCUACACACGUGCUACAAUGGCGUAUACAGAGGGUUGCGAAGCCGCGAGGGUGGGAGCUAA